UACGGAGGGUGCGAGCGUUGUCCGGAAUCACUGGGCGUAAAGGGCGCGUAGGCGGCUUCUUAAGCGUGCGGUGAAAGCUCGGGGCUCAACUCCGAGUCGGCCGUGCGAACUGGGAACUGGAGCACAGUAGAGGCGGGUGGAAUUCCGGGUGUAGCGGUGGAAUGCGUAGAGAUCCGGAGGAACACCAGCGGCGAAGGCGGCAUCCUGGACUGGCUCCUGACACUCAGG
rnacentral:rRNA from 1 species